GACUUUCUCCCAAUUAUGACAGAUUGGGCUAAGAUUCGAAUUAUUAAUAUGGUCCCUUUAUUUUGCAGAGAAGCAGGCAACGUGGCUCCCAGGAAAAUGGCCUGAACAGAACCAUGAGAGGAAGGCUGUCAGUUCAUGGAAGGGUUAUUCAUAUGGCCUAUCGUGGAGCUUCACCUGGUGAGCUAAUUCUCAUAAUUUAUCAUUGAGGUCUAGCAGCCAAGAUGGCCGAAUAGGAACAGCUCUGGUCUACGGCUCCCAGUGUGAGCGACGCAGAAGACGGGUGAUUUCUGCAUUUCCAUCUGAGGUACCAAGUUCAUCUCACUAGGGAGUGCCGGACAGUGGGUGUAGUGCACCGUGCGUGAGCCGAAGCACAGCGAGGCAUUGCCUCACUUGGGAAGCACAAGGGGUCAGGGAGUUCCAUUUCCUAGUCAAAGAAAGGGGUGACAGACGGCACCUGGAAAAUCGGGUCACUCCCAUCCUAAUACUGCGCUUUUCCGAUGGGCUUAAAAAACGGCGCACCAGGAGAUUAUAUCCCACACCAAGGAAGUAGCAGAUAAGAAGAAUAAGAGUUUGUUUUCAUAGUGAAAUGUAUGCAUGCAGUGACAGCCUCUGAUGGGCAAGUGUCAUACACAAUGAAAUACAAAAAUCCUCACUCAGAUUUGGAUGCUGAAUUUUUUCUUGGCAGUCCACAGUGCCAUAUUUCUUCAGUGAUGGUGUCUCUAGGCAGUGCAUACUUUUGUUGGAGACCUUUGGGUUAUGACAUUUACCUUUGCCCAAAUAUACCCAUGAGAA
rnacentral:lncRNA from 1 species